CGGCGGACGGGUGAGUAACGCGUGGGUAACCUGCCUCAUACAGGGGGAUAACAGUUGGAAACGGCUGCUAAUACCGCAUAAGCGCACAGUACCGCAUGGUACGGUGUGAAAAACUCCGGUGGUAUGAGAUGGACCCGCGUCUGAUUAGGUAGUUGGUGGGGUAACGGCCUACCAAGCGACGAUCAGUAGCCGACCUGAGAGGGUGACCGGCCACAUUGGGACUGAGACACGGCCCAA
rnacentral:rRNA from 1 species